rnacentral:lncRNA from 1 species
GUUCACAGUCACUGUUCUGCCUUUUCCCUCCCUACCCCCUGCUUGCAGAGCUCUCCAGGAGCCCGCCUCUGUUGAUAGGCUGCUUUGAAAUCUAUACUUAAAGUUCUAAGGGUAGUGGUGGACACUGAAGAAUUCUUUGCUGGAGACCUACCUGGCUUCUAGCCCCGUUGACCCUCUGUACAAUCUUGGACCAGUGUCAGCCCAGAUUACCAUCAUUUCAGUAAUGGAAGCAGCGUGCUUUAAGGAACCCCCUUAACC